rnacentral:lncRNA from 1 species
GUGAUUAGAGGCGCACAUUUCGAUACAGUCAAUUCAAAUUCUUUUGCAUAGUUUCUUUCUCAGCAGCUUCUUUCUUUUCUACGACCACGAUCUCAACAUUCCUUUUUGUCUUAUGUGCGGCAUUAAUUAGGUCAUAUUAAUUGCCGCCAUCUCUUCAUCAUUAUAGCUAGCCUCAAAAAUCGAUUCGACGCGACGGCUUCUCCUCUUCCUUCUUCGCCAAGUUUCCUCUUCUUCAUUUUUUCUUUUCUCUGGCCUGAGUCCUCAUUUUCUCUACUUCUUCUUCUUUGCCCCUUUUUCACCUUC